UGGGACGGGAUUCCCGUCCCGCGGGACGGGAAUCCGUGGGACGGGAAUCCCGUCCCG
rnacentral:miRNA from 1 species